GUGCACGUGGUAUUCUGGCAUGUGCUGUCAGGGCAGGAGGUGGUGUUACACAUCGAGGGCCUGCCUGUCGAUUGGAUGUGUCGGCCAUUGCAGGAUGCCAAGGUGAUCAAAUGUGGAAAACUGGUGCUGAGAAUGAAGGUCAAAGACAAGAAAGUGAAGAAGAAACCAGUUAGCAGUAGCAGCUCCUCUGAAGAUUCACACUGACUCUGCUUCUGAUUCAAAGAAGAGGAAGAAGAAAGAAAAGGAAGAAGCAAAAGAAAGAGAAAUCAAGCAGGCCAGAAGAUGCUGAUGUAGAGACUUCAGAACAACUUGUUCAGGAGGAGGAAGAAGAGGGCGAGGCAGAGGACGAAGAUGUUGGAGAAGGUGGUGAGAAAGGUCCAGUAGACUACAAUGCUUUGGAUUAUGAAACAAUGGAUGGAGCUGGUUCUGAAAAAGAUGAAGAGAAAUUGGGUAAAAAUAAUACAGUCACUGCUGUGGCAAUGAAGCCAGAGCCUGAAGCUGCACCAACAGGAAAUGGUGCUGUUGAGGAAGAAUUGGUAACCAAGAUCAUUGCAAAUGAAAAAUCUCCAGGUUUGUUUUCACAGUUUCAUAAAUUUUGUGUCAUGUUUGUGUAAAAAUUGUAUAUCUGUAUGACAUCACGGAAACUGCGUAUAUUGUCUAUACAGUACAGUCAGUUCCACAACGUAUCACAUGACUAUCAUCAUGUAAAAAUUACUCAAUGGUGAAGCUGUAAUUGUAGUAAAAUUUAAUAUAGAUUGUUGUUAUAGAUUGGACUCUGCUCGCAUUAUUAAUGAUUUUUGUGUAAUUUCCACAUGUUGUGGAACUGACUGUAUCUUACAGAAAUAUAGCUUGUGUGACAGUAUGCAUCAAUCCUUUGUAAUUGGUUGUUGCAGUUUGCUGUGAAGUUUAUAUUUGAAGAGUCGUAUAGAUCCUAGCAGAAAGUUUCUGGUUUAUAUGCAUAUUUAAAGAACCCCAUAAUUCCUUGCUUCUGUAGCCCUGAAAGUACCCUGGCCUCCGCUAUAACACAUGCCCAUUCUUACCUACUUCUUGCUUUUUCCCUUAUCAUGGUAGGUCUAAAACUGGCUGUUUUUCUCUUAUGUUAAAUGUCACAGUUGGAGAGUAAUAAAACAAAACAAGCGUGGUAUUUCAGAGCAUGUAUAACCUAGAUUUUACUUUGCACUUAUGUUGGAUAUUGUUUGUUGUUUGAGGUAUUAGCAGUGGCUGGCAUUGAACCCAGGACAGCAGUACAGACUUAUGCUGGAGACUAUAAUUGUCUAUACAGUGGAGUCCUGAUGUUUGAGAAUUUAUAGCAUUCCUGAAAGUGCUUGUUGUAAUGGAUAUCUGAAAGUGGUUGAAAUAUGUAACUACUAGUCCAUCCCUUAACUUUCAUUUAUAUAUAAUACAGGAGGGCAUGAUGGUAUCAAUAAUGCAUAUCUGGCAACAUUUCUUGUUCCUGUUAUUGUUCUUGUUGUUCCUUUAAGUGAUUAUGUAUUAUGAAAAUAGUGGAAAUAAUUCAGCAUUCUCAUCACCAUCAGCAUCAUGUGAACCCAAGAACUAAAGAUGUUCAUUCUUAAACUCACAUAUAUUCUGCAUGUCUGCAAGCACAAAUCACCCGUGCUCUGUUCACAAGUCCUGCCCAUGUUCCAAAUACAAGUGGCUGCAAAUCCAUACAUGUGAGAAUUUGUAUAUCAACUUGCGUCAGAGUUAAGUGACAGACAUGUUACAUGAAGCAGUUUCUCAUGCUGAUACAUGUAUGCAGUGUCAUAGGUUCUGAAUGCCACCAAGACUGAAUUUCAUGCAAGUUACUGUACUGUGACAGUCGCCGAGUGUGUUAUCAACAGUUCUCAAGGCAGCAGCCUGCGAGU